CCUACGGGAGGCAGCAGUGAGGAAUAUUGGUCAAUGGACGCAAGUCUGAACCAGCCAUGCCGCGUGCAGGAAGAAGGCUCUAUGAGUUGUAAACUGCUGUUGUACGAGGGUAAACGCAGAUACGCGUAUCUGUCGGAAAGUAUCGUACGAAUAAGGAGCGGCUAACUCCGUGCCAGCAGCCGCGGUAAUACGGAGGAUUCAAGCGUUAUCCGGAUUCAUUGGGUUUAAGGGGUGUGUGGGCGGUCGGAUAAGUUAGAGGUGAAAUCCCGAGGCUCAACUUCGGAAUUGCCUCUGAUACUGUUCGGCUAGAGAGUAGUUGCGGUAGGCGGAAUGUAUGGUGUAGCGGUGAAAUGCUUAGAGAUCAUACAGAACACCGAUUGCGAAGGCAGCUUACCAAGCUACUUCUGACGUUGAGGCACGAAGGCCUGGGGAGCAAACAGGAUUAGAUACCCUAGUAGUC
rnacentral:rRNA from 1 species